rnacentral:tRNA from 1 species
GAAGGCAUAGUUCAGUGGUAGAGAGCGUGCCCAGCAUGCACAAGGUCCUGGGUUCAAUCCCCAGUACCUCCA